UAGGACGUAGUAUAAUUUAUUAUACCUCAUUUACACUGAGGUGGUGGUAAUUAUGGUUGCCCGUUCUAA
rnacentral:tRNA from 1 species